AACGAACGCUGGCGGCAUGCCUAACACAUGCAAGUCGAACGAGACCUUCGGGUCUAGUGGCGCACGGGUGCGUAACGCGUGGGAACCUGCCCUUAGGUUCGGAAUAACUCCCCGAAAGGGGUGCUAAUACCGGAUAAUGUCUUCGGACCAAAGAUUUAUCGCCUUUGGAUGGGCCCGCGUUGGAUUAGCUAGUUGGUAGGGUGAAAGCCUACCAAGGCGACGAUCCAUAGCUGGUCUGAGAGGAUGAUCAGCCACACUGGGACUGAGACACGGUCCAGACUCCUACGGGAGGCAGCAGUGGGGAAUAUUGGACAAUGGGCGAAAGCCUGAUCCAGCAAUGCCGCGUGAGUGAUGAAGGCCUUGGGGUUGUAAAGCUCUUUUACCCGGGAUGAUAAUGACAGUACCGGGAGAAUAAGCUCCGGCUAACUCCGUG
rnacentral:rRNA from 1 species